GUGUCAAUGAUGAGAACUCAUAUCGUCUCGAAGAGAGAUGAUGACAUAAAAAUCAUGCCCAAUAGGCUUACACUGACACCC